rnacentral:rRNA from 1 species
GUAGAUAUCUAAAGGAACACCAAUGGCGAAGGCAGCUUACUGGGUUAUUUCUGACACUGAGAUGCGAAAGCGUGGGGAGCAAACGGGAUUAGAUACCCCGGUAGUCCACGCUGUAAACGAUGCCAACUAGGUCUUGGGGAGUAUCGACCCUCCUUUGGACCGAAGCUAACGCGUUAAGUUGGCCGCCUGGGGAGUACGAGCGCAAGCUUAAAACUCAAAGGAAUUGACGGGGACCUGCACAAGCGGUGGAGCGUGUGGUUUAAUUCGAUAGUAAGCGAAGAACCUUACCAAGGCUUGACAUCUCUGGAAAGCUCUGGAAACAGAGCCGUGCCGCAAGGAGCCAGAUGACAGGUGCUGCACGGUUGUCGUCAGCUCGUGCCGUGAGGUGUCCCGUUCAGUCGGUUAACGAGCGCAACCCCUAUCCUGUGUUGUAUUUUUCACAGGAAACUGCCCCAGUUAAUGGGGAGGAAGGUGGGGACGACGUCAAAUCAGCGUGGCUCUUACGCCUUGGGCUACUCACGCGCUACAAUGGGAAGUAACAAUGGGUUGCCAAGCCGCGAGGCGGAGCUAAUCCCAACAAACCUUCCCCCAGUUCAGAUUGAAGGCUGCAAUUCGCCUCCAUGAAGUCGGAAUCGCUAGUAACGGCCGGUCAGCCAUACGGCCGUGAAUACGUUCUCAGGUCUUGUACACACCGCCCGUCAAACCACGAAAGUUGGGAGUGCCCGAAGGGA